rnacentral:rRNA from 1 species
GAUGAACGCUGGCGGCGUGCUUAACACAUGCAAGUCGAACGAAGCACUCUAUUUGAUUUUCUUCGGAAAUGAAGAUUUUGUGACUGAGUGGCGGACGGGUGAGUAACGCGUGGGUAACCUGCCUCAUACAGGGGGAUAACAGUUGGAAACGACUGCUAAUACCGCAUAAGCGCACAGGAUUGCAUGAUCCGGUGUGAAAAACUCCGGUGGUAUGAGAUGGACCCGCGUCUGAUUAGCCAGUUGGCAGGGUAACGGCCUACCAAAGCGACGAUCAGUAGCCGACCUGAGAGGGUGACCGGCCACAUUGGGACUGAGACACGGCCCAAACUCCUACGGGAGGCAGCAGUGGGGAAUAUUGCACAAUGGGGGAAACCCGGAUGCAGCGACGCCGCGUGAGCGAAGAAGUAUUUCGGUAUGUAAAGCUCUAUCAGCAGGGAAGAAGAAUGACGGUACCUGACUAAGAAGCACCGGCUAAAUACGUGCCAGCCGCCGCAGUAA